rnacentral:rRNA from 2 species
GGCGAUGCCUCUUGCGAGCGCGCGUCC